UUUAUGGAGAGUUUGAUCCUGGCUCAGGAUGAACGCUGGCGGCGUGCCUAAUACAUGCAAGUCGAGCGAACAGAUAAGGAGCUUGCUCCUUUGACGUUAGCGGCGGACGGGUGAGUAACACGUGGGUAACCUACCUAUAAGACUGGAAUAACUCCGGGAAACCGGGGCUAAUGCCGGAUAACAUGUUGAACCGCAUGGUUCUACAGUGAAAGACGGUCUUGCUGUCACUUAUAGAUGGACCCGCGCCGUAUUAGCUAGUUGGUGGGGUAACGGCCUACCAAGGCGACGAUACGUAGCCGACCUGAGAGGGUGAUCGGCCACACUGGAACUGAGACACGGUCCAGACUCCUACGGGAGGCAGCAGUAGGGAAUCUUCCGCAAUGGGCGAAAGCCUGACGGAGCAACGCCGCGUGAGUGAUGAAGGUCUUCGGAUCGUAAAGCUCUGUUGUUAGGGAAGAACAAAUGUGUAAGUAACUGUGCACAUCUUGACGGUACCUAACCAGAAAGCCACGGCUAACUACGUGCCAGCAGCCGCGGUAAUACGUAGGUGGCAAGCGUUAUCCGGAAUUAUUGGGCGUAAAGCGCGCGUAGGCGGUUUUUUAAGUCUGAUGUGAAAGCCCACGGCUCAACCGUGGAGGGUCAUUGGAAACUGGAAAACUUGAGUGCAGAAGAGGAAAGUGGAAUUCCAUGUGUAGCGGUGAAAUGCGCAGAGAUAUGGAGGAACACCAGUGGCGAAGGCGGCUUUCUGGUCUGCAACUGACGCUGAUGUGCGAAAGCGUGGGGAUCAAACAGGAUUAGAUACCCUGGUAGUCCACGCCGUAAACGAUGAGUGCUAAGUGUUA
rnacentral:rRNA from 1 species